GUUGAACGCUGGCGGCAGGCUUAACACAUGCAAGUCGAGCGGAGAUGAGGUGCUUGCACCUUAUCUUAGCGGCGGACGGGUGAGUAAUGCUUAGGAAUCUGCCUAUUAGUGGGGGACAACAUUCCGAAAGGAAUGCUAAUACCGCAUACGUCCUACGGGAGAAAGCAGGGGAUCUUUGGACCUUGCGCUAAUAGAUGAGCCUAAGUCGGAUUAGCUAGUUGGUGGGGUAAAGGCCUACCAAGGCGACGAUCUGUAGCGGGUCUGAGAGGAUGAUCCGCCACACUGGGACUGAGACACGGCCCAGACUCCUACGGGAGGCAGCAGUGGGGAAUAUUGGACAAUGGGGGGAACCCUGAUCCAGCCAUGCCGCGUGUGUGAAGAAGGCCUUAUGGUUGUAAAGCACUUUAAGCGAGGAGGAGGCUACUGAGACUAAUACUCUUGGAUAGUGGACGUUACUCGCAGAAUAAGCACCGGCUAACUCUGUGCCAGCAGCCGCGGUAACAC
rnacentral:rRNA from 1 species